AUGACUUUCUACAUUGGGGCAAACAGAGGGUCCGCGUUGAUUUUUUUGCUCUUGUUGAACAACUUAGAGGAGCCCAUGUGUGUAGGUUUGGCUAGCACGAGCCUGGUGCCAUUGGACACUAUUGUCGAGAGCCAUAUCCAACAAGCAGAUAGGCUAGAUGUUGUCGGGUGGCACCAGCAGCCUUGCCGGCUCCGCCCUGUGUAUGGUUUCAACAUGUGUUUCUUAGUCUUUGUUGCUGAUAAAACCAUUAGUUGUCGAUCUUUGGAUUCAUUGCUUGUCAACUGGGCUAAGAUGUUUCAAAUAUAUAGAUCCAUGAUGUCGGGCAUAGUACAAUGGUAA
rnacentral:rRNA from 1 species